CCCUUAGAUGUUCUGGGCCGCACGCGCGCUACACUGAUGCAUUCAACGAGUCUAAAACCUGCUCUGAUAGGGGUGGGUAAUCUUUUGAAUGUGCAUCGUGAUUGGGAUAGAUGAUUGAAAUUUUUCAUCUUCAACGAGGAAUGCCUAGUAAACGCAAGUCAUCAGCUUGCAUUGAUUACGUCCCUGCCCUUUGUACACACCGCCCGCCGUUCCUACCGAUUGAAUGAUCCGAUGAAUAUCAUGGAUUGAGGAUGCAAGUAGGUUCACCUAUCUUCAUCUUCGAGAAGUGAAGUAAAUCUUAUCAUUUAGAGGAAGGAGAAGUCGUAACA
rnacentral:rRNA from 1 species